GGGUCCAUAGCUCAGCUGGAUAGAGCAACAGCCUUCUAAGCUGUGGGCCGGAGGUUCGAGUCCCCCUGGGCUCACCA
rnacentral:tRNA from 1 species